rnacentral:rRNA from 1 species
GACGAACGCUGGCGGCGUGCUUAUCACAUGCAAGUCGAACGGAAAGGCCCUGCUUUUGUGGGGUGCUCGAGUGGCGAACGGGUGAGUAACACGUGAGUAACCUUCCCUUGACUUUUGGAUAACUUCAUGAAACUGUGGCUAAUACCGGAUAGGCGCUCCUGCUGCAUUGUGGGGGUUGGAAAGUUUCGGCGGUUGGGGAUGUACUCGCGGCUUAUCAGCUUGUUGGUGGGGUAGUGGCUUACCAAGGCUUUGACGGGUAGCCGGUCUGAGAGGGUGACCGGCGACAUUGGGACUGAGAUACGGCACAGACUCCUACGGGAGGCAGCAGUGGGGAAUAUUGCACAAUGGGCGGAAGCCUGAUGCAGCAACGCCGCGUGCGGGAUGACGGCCUUCGGGUUGUAAACCGCUUUCGCCUGUGACGAAGCGUGAGUGACGGUAAUGGGUAAAGAAGCACCGGCUAACUACGUG